CCUACGGGAGGCUGCAGUGAGGAAUAUUGGUCAAUGGACGAGAGUCUGAACCAGCCAAGUAGCGUGAAGGAUGACUGCCCUAUGGGUUGUAAACUUCUUUUAUAUGGGAAUAAAACGUUCCACGUGUGGGAUUUUGUAUGUACCAUAUGAAUAAGGAUCGGCUAACUCCGUGCCAGCAGCCGCGGUAAUACGGAGGAUCCGAGCGUUAUCCGGAUUUAUUGGGUUUAAAGGGAGCGUAGGUGGAUUGUUAAGUCAGUUGUGAAAGUUUGCGGCUCAACCGUAAAAUUGCAGUUGAAACUGACAGUCUUGAGUACAGUAGAGGUGGGCGGAAUUCGUGGUGUAGCGGUGAAAUGCUUAGAUAUCACGAAGAACUCCGAUUGCGAAGGCAGUUCACUGGACUGCAACUGACACUGAGGCUCGAAAGUGUGGGUAUCAAACAGGAUUAGAUACCCUGGUAGUC
rnacentral:rRNA from 1 species